rnacentral:tRNA from 1 species
GCCCCCGUAGCUCAAAGGAUAGAGCGACGGACUUCUAAUCCGCAGGUUGCGAGUUCGAGUCUCGCCGGGGGCG